CGGCCAGAGCCGGGGCGCGGCGGCACUCGCCCGGGGAGGGAGCCACGCAGGCGGCGGGCGGGCUCCCGAGGGGCGCGCGGGCGGGGGCGCGCAGGCCGGCGGCUCAACGCUACCUGGCGGCGAGCGAGUGAGGUUGUGGCCCUCCGAGCUCACGGCCUGCAGGAGGAAAGCUCAGAAAAGGAUCUGAAUCUUCGACUGUACCUGCUGUCACUGGAGAAUUCAUUCCCUAGGGUCAGUUGACUCAGGGCAUUGACAAUAGACGUGUUCUCAGAAAAAUGGCGCUCCCUGACUUUUGGAGGAUGACUUUUGCGUACCAGAUCACGGUGCACACUGAUGCUUUUUAAACUGUUUGAACGAUAGGGAUGUGGUUCAGGUUCCCAUUCCAGAGAUGAAGCACUUUGUUGCUGCCGGUAAGUGGGCAACGGGAUGCUUCCUCUGGAUUUCUCUGCGGGCUCCAGUGGAAAAGGAGGGUUCAGUCUUCUCUGAUGGUCAGAGAAGUCUGCUUCCCCGCGGCUGGGGAAUGUGGGUUGGGCCAAGUCUCCUGACUCUCUUUCCAAGGUCUGAGCUGCUGCUACAUCUUUAGACUUCUCAUACUUUGGUGAUGAUGCUGAGAUAUUUUUAGACUCACUCUGACGUAGUUGUGAAAUGCCGUUAGACUUCUGAUUGCUUAACUGUGUAGAAGCUUCUCUGUUGGAUAUUACAGGAACCUGGAGAGAGUUCUCGGAUUUCUCCGCCUCCAUGACAUCGCUACUCAACCUGCGUUCAUUUCUGGAUUCUCCGGACUUUGGAGUUGGCUCAGGGGACAGAGGGUCGCGCUCUGGUGUGCCAAGAGAUAGGCUGCCAAAGUCACAGUUGUUCCCACUUUGGGGGAAGAUAGUAGCUACAUGUCUUCUGGGGCUUAAAUCUUUAGCUGAGAAUUUUCUGCUGGCUUUGGACAUGGCUGCCAAUCUGUGUUUAACUAAAGAUCUGUUUUUUCCUUUUUCUGGGUCAUCCACGCUGGUUUUAUUUUUAUUGCUUCCUUCAGGAAGUGAAGGUUGAUCCCAUGCCAACUUUUGCAUUUCGUCUUCAGCUUUACUGUUCUCUGUCAUACUUACCUCCUGACUCCUUUGCGGUAGUUCCCUGGGUUCAGACUGCAAACUGUCUAAAUCUGGCUCUCCUGAACAAGUCCCUUUGUCAAGCUGUAGAUUGUGCAAAGCUGGAGGAAGAGCAAAGACCUGCCUUUCCGAGUCAUAAAGUGCUUUAAUACUCUCUUUUUGGAAAUCUGUUCCAAUUUCCCCUCUGACCUGCCUCGGCUGCAAUCCACUGGAGCUACCAACCACAGCUUCGCCUGUGAUAUCUUUCUGAAGGCAUUCUGCAGUUCCAGGAGCUGUAAUGACCACAGCAUUACCUGCACACUCCUCAGGACUUCUUACGGUUUGGGAAUUCCCAACAUUCUCUUCUGAAUGGGCCGGAAGAUUAGAAGGACCCCCGUUACCCAACUUAACGGGCUGCUGACAGUUUUCCGAUUUCUCUUCUGUAACUUUUUUUCCCUGAAGCAUUGAUAAAACAUGCAGGGUUUCACUCUGCUGUUUUUUCCCUCUCUCCUUUCUGCUCUGUGCAUCGCCUAGAGGGGUUUUAGCGAAGUUAUCUGGGGAAAUCGCUCCAGUUCUUGAUUCUCCUUUAUGAAGAGAAACAUCUGCCGCAGUAGAAGCCAUUUCCUGUAAUAUGGGCUCUGAGGGCCUCGGGUCUGGUGAAGCAGUCGUAUCUUCAGUGGUGUGAGAAACACAAUGGCUCUUCUCCUGAGCAGAGCUGACCAGCAUCUUCUGACCUUCAGAGGAAGGUGUUCCUGACUGCUCUUGUAUAGAACAAUUUAGUUUGUCCUUUUCAAAAGCAUUAGGAAAUGCUUUGGUCUCCGCUUUAGUCGAUUCUAUGGAUCUUUGCCUGAAGGACUUUUCCUGGAGAACGCUGUUGUAGAAGGAAUCGCCAGAGCCUCAAGGGAAGAAUUAUUCGACGUGGCCAGGUCGGAGGGUGGUGUCCACGUCAGAGCUCAGUGACCUCCUUAUAAUACAGAGGACCUGGGUCAGCCCCAAAACCCAGAGAUCAAGCUUCCUAGGACCCCAGCCUCUGCGACCUCAGACAAGUUACAGGAUAUUUUCAGUUGGUUGGUAUUUCUUGGAAUCGUGUUUCCUUACUCCUAUUUGACCCCUUUUCCUCAAGAAAAACCUAUCAGAAUUUAAACAGAACCAUAAUCUUUUAAGGUUUCAAGAUUCCCAAAGGCCCACCCUGUCGUGGAUAUAUUUUACCAUAUUCAUGUUACAAUAAAUAGAAACAAGUAGAUUAUAUAUUUAUUGAAGAAAUGCAAUGUUUGUUCAUAACAAUCAAAUCUGGUAUGAGAAAUAAGUUAUGGGAUUAUUUAAAUUGCUGAGUUACACCUCUCCUUCUGAGUUACAUAAAAUGGUGCACUCCCUCCUUGCUUCUUUAAAAAUUAUUUGUCAUUAAAAUAUUUGAUCUUAACACUUCAAUGACAGGGAAAGGGAGGCAUAUCAGUAUUUGUGAAUGUGGGUGGGAUGUAUUUGUGGAUACGUCAACUAUGUUGGGGCAGGUGCUGAAGAGAUUUCUGAUGUCUGUUCUGGAUUUUCCCAACACUAUUGUAUUUGUAAGCUGGUGCUGUUUAAGUUUGCACAGCCACCAGAAGAAGGAAUCUUGAGCAUUAAAAGUCUAUAACUAAGGAAUUCUUUAGGGAUUCAUCCUGAAGUGUUACAAUUAUUUAUCUCCCAUCUCUGAAAUAAUUCCAUAUAUCCACACACACACAAAUCAAACAAUGCCAAACUGUAAGGCGAGGUAAAAAGAAAAUAAAAUUAUGUCAAAAUUAUGUAAUGAGUAAAAAAUCUGUCUUUAAAACAAAUUAUAAUAAAACCUCUUUGAUUCCUGUUCUUCCUUUCAAGCUAGUUGUAGGUUUUUUUUUUUUUCCCCUUAAAUAAAGUCUUUUGCUGCCUAUGAAAGCAACAUACGGUUAUAAGGGAAAAUACAGGAAAGCAUAACAAAAAGGUAAAAUCACCUGGAUUCCUCCCCAAAUGUAACCACUCUUAACAUCCCCAUAGGAAGGUUUUAAAUUAUUCAAAAAUGCUGUUUUAUUUUUACUCUUGAGGUAAAAAAAAAAAAAUCUGUUCUGCGUUUCCUCUUUAUUUUCAGAAAAGCCAAAUUAUUUUUUUUCGUGUCAUAAACAGUAGCUCUCCUGGAUUAGCAAAACCUUUGUUUUGUAACAGAGAUGUUCCUCUGGGCUACUUUUCUCUGAAGCAAAUUCUCUGCCAGGAACCACGUAACUGAAAGGUUGACCCCUGCACCCCCCCAGGUGGACCUCUCUCACUGACCACCCCACCUCUCCCAACACAGCGCCCAGGGCAGGUCAUUGCCUUUGCAAAUGGAACUUAGUUCCUCAGGGUGAAGCUGGUGAAUGACUUCAGAGUUCACUGUUUCAAUGGCCAGGUUUAUUUUGAUACAGAAUAACCUAAGUAAAGGUACAAAUUAUAUGACGAAGAGAAAAUACGGAGAGUUUAUUUACACUCAACUUUAACUCUGCAAGGAUAUUUUGUUCAGUGAUGAAAUGGUUAAAGAAGUAACUGCUGACCUCUCCCCUUCCUGCCUACCACACAUUCCAGUCCCCACCCCGAUCUAGGAAACCAGGGAUCUGAAGACAAAUGGAUCAGGACCCUGGAAGCAGACCCACUUCUAAAAUAACUAAGAAAGCCUAGUCUUCACCUCUGUCUCCUGAGCACCCAGCAUGGCAUCAGCAGGAAGGCUUCUGGUCCUCGAGUCUGAGUUAAGCGCUUCUCCUAGAUGUUCCCAAGGCUGGAAUACCGUGCACCCUCCCUCGCACUCACCAUAUGACACCAUAAUCACCAGUGUACUUGGCCGCAGCGAGGCCAGAUGGUAUCCCUGUGUGAAUCCCACAGAGCACCCCUUCCUCAAGUUACUGUCAUUUGCCAGAAAACUGCCAUAAGAAAUACCUCAAGCCAUGAUGUUCUGCCAUGUCCCAGGGUUCUGUGGGGCACCUCUGCCCAACCACACGCAAUGCUCUGCUGUUCCCCACUGGAUUACAGAUUUCUCCAGGAAGGGCCUGUGCCUUAUUUUCACAAUUAUCCUCAGUACGAACAGUAGUAUCUGAUCCGGAGUAAGACUUUGAUAAACGCUCGAUAAAUAAACAAAAGCGAAACUAUCACCUGGGCUAACAACACCCAUGCGGAGAGUUCUGACAGCCCUUCCCGAAGCAAGGCUGCCAGGGGUUUCAAACCGCCACGUGAGCACCUGAAUAUCCUGGAGAAUUUAAAAUAAACAAAUAAAUGAAGUUCCCUGUGCCCUACUUCAGACCUUCUGAAUCAGAAUCUCAGAUUCGGGGCCAAGUGUCAUUAUUUUUAAAUUGCUGAUGAGAUUAUACUAAUGAUCAGCCCUGUCACCUGGGAACACCACCGGCCACCCAGGGUAAACUCCAGACUACUCCCCCUGUCGUGCCUCUUCUUCUUGUCAUCACAGCCCUGCCCGUGGAGACCGCACCUGGGUUCACAGAAGGAGCAUUUCUAGAGGAGGAUCUCGCUGACUCUGACUUCUCCUUUCAUCGAGGAGUCUAAGAUUUUUGUGUCUUUGAACUCAGGCAUUUGCAGGCAUUUCUAGAGGAGGAUCUCGCUGACUCUGACUUCUCCUUUCAUCGAGGAGUCUAAGAUUUUUGUGUCUUUGAACUCAGGCAUUUGCAGGGAGCGGCAUGUGUAGCGAGUGAGAGAGAGAAAAAGAGAAUGACCAGAAUCCAGGGGAAAAAAAAAUAUCACCUGCCUUUUUAAUUUUCCAAAACAGUAGCUCAAUGUCUUGCUUGCGUAACCUGGGGUUGCAGCUGGAGCGGUAUACGCCCCGUGGGCCAGGCAAAUUUGGGCAUGUCUGAAGAGCAGCAAGGUGGAUCCGCCAAAGCGCUUUGCAUCUCAAGGGAAAAAUAAAAUCCUCCUGAAGCUGCAGGGUAAGGGGCAUGCGCUCAGCCCCGGAGAGGCGCUGCCCGUUCUCAUCACCACCGCGCAGUGGGUACUUUACAGAGGCUAAGCACUGUGAUGGUUCUCAAAGAAAAGAGGGGAUCUUAAAUUGAAUUGUACAUGCUACUCACGAGCCUUACGAACUAGUUCCCUCGUCUUUUCACUUUGCCCCGGUCCUUGGGACUACAACAAAGGACGGGGGUGGGGAUCCACAUCCCUAAAAUCGCCCUCAUGAACUAGCGGCACAUGGCGACACAGUUUUGACAGUGUAAGUGGCCCCCUUGAAGGGGCAACGUCACUGUGGAUGGCGCGGUAGCAUGAGACCCAGAGGGGUGCGCACGGCACGUGUUCAUAGCAGGGAGGGCAUUAUUGGGAUCAUGGGCGUCUGGAAUAAGGAAUGAACAACUGUAAAUCCUCUUUGGCAGCCAGGAAGAUUGCAUUUGUAAGCUCAUGACCUACACUCUUGCGUACUUGCUAAACUCCGCAGAAGGAAUUUUUGAGGCUCUAGCUUACUGAAAUUUCGUGCUGGCAGGGCGGGGUGCGGGGCUGAGCCCUAUGCCAUACGCAGUAGAUGCCCUAUCACGAGACACAGGAGACAGAACCUACAGGGAAAUGCUGGGGGAAAGAUACUUGCAAUAUACACGUAUACUUCUCUUGAAAGUGUUGGCCGGCAAUAAACAAAUCGAAACAUGAGUGGAAAAUAUUUUUCCUUUUUCCUGGGGUUGGGGAGGGGUCAGAGGGAAUAUAAUUCAAUCAUUUACAAAUAGGAUUAAAAUAAUAAUGGGAUAGUGGUG